AGAGUUUGAUCCUGGCUCAGAUUGAACGCUGGCGGCAGGCCUAACACAUGCAAGUCGAACGGUAACAGGAUGUGCUUGCACAUCGCUGACGAGUGGCGGACGGGUGAGUAAUGCUUGGGAACUUGCCUUUGCGAGGGGGAUAACAGUUGGAAACGACUGCUAAUACCGCAUAAUGUCUUCGGACCAAACGGGGCUUCGGCUCCGGCGCAAAGAGAGGCCCAAGUGAGAUUAGCUAGUUGGUAAGGUAAAGGCUUACCAAGGCGACGAUCUCUAGCUGUUCUGAGAGGAAGAUCAGCCACACUGGGACUGAGACACGGCCCAGACUCCUACGGGAGGCAGCAGUGGGGAAUAUUGCACAAUGGGGGAAACCCUGAUGCAGCCAUGCCGCGUGUGUGAAGAAGGCCUUCGGGUUGUAAAGCACUUUCAGUUGUGAGGAAAAGUUAGUAGUUAAUACCUGCUAGCCGUGAC
rnacentral:rRNA from 1 species